GUUUUUGAUGGAGAGUUUGAUCCUGGCUCAGGACGAACGCUGGCGGCGUGCUUAACACAUGCAAGUCGAGCGGUAAGGCCUCUUCGGGGGUACACGAGCGGCGAACGGGUGAGUAACACGUGAGUAAUCUGCCCUUCACUUCGGGAUAACUACCGGAAACGGUGGCUAAUACCGGAUAUGACCUGUCCUCGCAUGGGGGUGGGUGGAAAGUUCUGGCGGUGGAGGAUGUGCUCGCGGCCUAUCAGCUUGAUGGUGGGGUAAUGGCCUACCAUGGCUUCGACGGGUAGCCGGCCUGAGAGGGUGACCGGCCACACUGGGACUGAGACACGGCCCAGACUCCUACGGGAGGCAGCAGUGGGGAAUAUUGGACAAUGGGCGAAAGCCUGAUCCAGCAACGCC
rnacentral:rRNA from 1 species